rnacentral:lncRNA from 1 species
GUCAUCACCUGGAGGACCAAUCACAGACCACAGAGCAUCGGCCAGACCACAGGGCAUUUGGGCAGUUUGUGCUGAUUGGUGGAUUCUGACUGAACAAAAAUGUGAUGCCCUAUUUUCACAGCAAUAUAAAACACCAACCAAGGAGGCCCUUGAAGAACCAGAAAAUAGCUUGGCUCCAGAUGGUUUUUUUUUUUGUUUUUUUUUUGCCAAUUGGAGACCCAGCAUCACCUAAGGCCUGACCAUACUUCCUGCCUUGGCUUCUGUGAACAUCUCUGUAUCCUUACAGGAUCUGCAUUAGCGAAACAAAGGUGCCGGUUGCCUCCUUGGAGUCACCUUUUUCCUUCCUUGGCAUGGAGCCAGUACCAAGAAUCUCCAGGGAUAGAGGUGGGACCCUAUGGGGAAAAGCAGAUAGCAGAGAAGGAAAGAAGAGGAAGACAGAAGUUUCUCCUCCCACACGUCAAAGGUUAAUUGUGUGAGAACAAAAGAAGAUUCCUUCCCCUGACUGAGUAGACUCACCAUAUAUUACUAGUAAGGGUAUUUUCUUUCAAGCAAUGGGUUGGACCUAUGGGGCAUGAGAGAGAAGUUUCACUGGUUUGCACUGGCUUCUGUCACUAGCUAAUAAAGAAGGCUGCCUGAGA